rnacentral:rRNA from 1 species
UACAGAGGGUGCGAGCGUUAAUCGGAAUUACUGGGCGUAAAGCGUGCGUAGACGGUAGCGUAAGUCAGAUGUGAAAGCCCCGGGCUUAACCUGGGAAUUGCAUUUGAUACUCUGGAGCUUGAGUACGGGAGAGGAUAGUGGAAUUCCCAGUGUAGAGGUGAAAUUCGUAGAUAUUGGGAAGAACACCGGUGGCGAAGGCGGCUAUCUGGACCGUAACUGACGCUGAGGCGCGAAAGCGUGGGGAGCAAACAGG